rnacentral:lncRNA from 1 species
UUCAGGUACAUAUAAUAAUCAUAACAAAAAUCAUAUCCAUUUAGUAUUGAUUAAACCCGGACUCGAAUGUUGAAUGUGGCCCACGUGAUAUAUUUAAGGCGAUUUAUAAAGAUACGGUCAAUCUAUUUAAGUUGAUCUAUAAAAAUACGGUAGAUCUUACGGUUAGGAUAUAUCUGAACACGUCCUUCAUGGACGGACGUGAUUUAACAUCCUUAUAUUAAGUUAUAUAUAAAUAUGUAACAUACGAGAUUUCCGGUCUAACCUUAAUCCAAUUGUCAAACUCGAAACGUCCCGCUACUUUGCAGAUCGCGAACGAGAACGAAUCACGAGCAAGGAUCACCGUCAACAAUUCGGGUACAGAAAUUGAAAUCAUGGUAGACGGUAUGAUCUUAGUUUCUUAUAAAAUUUCAACAUGUGGUAUCAGAGCAGAACCUUUUGCCGAAUUUUCGUUUCUUUCUGGAUUUCAUUUGAUUUUCUUUUUAUUAAAGAAAAAUAAAUAAAUAAAUUCGUUGAUGGUUUGUGUUAACGGUAACGUCGGCCGAUCUCAAUCGAGACCAGCGUUUAGAGAAACGACG